rnacentral:rRNA from 1 species
CCUACGGGUGGCUGCAGUGGGGAAUUUUGGACAAUGGACGAAAGUCUGAUCCAGCCAUUCCGCGUGAGUGAAGAAGGCCUUCGGGUUGUAAAGCUCUUUUGUCAGGGAGGAAAUUCCUAAGGCUAAUAUCCUUGGGGGAUGACAGUACCUGAAGAAUAAGCACCGGCUAACUACGUGCCAGCAGCCGCGGUAAUACGUAGGGUGCAAGCGUUAAUCGGAAUUACUGGGCGUAAAGCGUGCGCAGGCGGUUUCGUAAGCUUGAUGUGAAAUCCCCG